GACGAGGUUUCACCAUGUUAGUCAGGAUGGUCUUGAUCUCCUGACCUCAUGAUCCUCCCACCUUGGCCUCCCAAAGUGCUGGGGUUACAGGCGUGAGCCACCGCGCCCGGCAAGGCCAAGUGCUCUUAAUUUUUUUCCUUUCCCAGGCUAAUCUGUGAGGUGAGCUUAUGUAAGAUCAACAGCAAAGUUCUAAAGAGCGGUCAGCUGGAGGACACCUGCCUAGUGGAGCUUUCACUGGCCCUGGACCUGUGUCUAAAGGUGGGCAUUAGCAGUCGGCAUCUCACUGCUAUCACUGUGGAUGUGUGGACACUCCAUGCUGAACUGCAUGAGGGCCUCUUCCAGAGCCAACUGCUGUGCCAGGGCCCAAGCCUAGCAUCUAAGCCUGUUCCCUGUUCAGAGGUGACAGAAAACUUAGUUGAGCCAACUCUGCCUGGCCUUUUCCUUCUCCAGCAGCUGCCAGACCAGGUCAAGGUUAAGAUGGAGAACACAAGCGUGGUAUUGUCCAUGAAUAGUCAAAAGAGGCACCUGACUUGGACUCUGAAGCUGCUGCAGUUCCUGUACCACCGUGAUGAGGAUCAGCU
rnacentral:sRNA from 1 species